ensembl:lncRNA
AAAAAAAAAAAAAACUAAACGUAUAUAUAAAUGAAUAAAAAAAGAAAAACACCACUUUUACGUAUGCACAAACAGAUGCGCACCCAUUUAAGUGUCACUUUUUUUUCUAUUUAAGUCAAAGCAAUAUGACUAAUAACAACACAGAACAAACCAACGCGGAGAGAGAAGAAGAGGAAGAAGAAACAAGAGAUUUGUUUUUGUAUAACACUUAUACAGGUAGCGAAUCCGAGUCAUGUAAUAUUUUAUAUUUAUUUUUUUUUUUUCUUUCUUUAUUUUUUAUUAUGCUGAUGACAGCUGAUAAUAAUGUAAAAAAUAAUGACUAUAAUAAUAAUAGUAAUGAUAAUAGUAGCCAUAAAAUAACAGGUGAUGAUGAUGCUUUUAUAAAUAAUACAAAUGAUGGUAAUCUUUUUUCCAAUGAAUAUCCUGACAGUGUAAUUAUACAAAGUGUAAAUUUUAAGGGGGAAUAUAUUUUUUUAAAUAACCAUAUUAAUAACAUUUAUGGGAAUUAUAUGAAUAUGAAAAAAGGUGAUAUAAAUAUAAUGGAUAGUGAAAAUAUUGGGUUAAUGAAUGACAAACCGAUUGACAUGUUAGAUUAUAAAGGCGGGAACUUUGAAGCUAAAAUAAUUACACUUAAACUAUCUGUUUAUAAUCUUACAAAAUCAUUUGCAUUUUUUCAUUUCGAACCAAAUCAUACAAGUAAAAGUAAAUCUAGGUCAGCACAUAGUAAUAAUAAUAAUAAUAAUAAUAAUAAUAAUAAUAAUAAUAAUAAUAGUAAUAAUAGUAAUAGUAAUAAUAGUAAUAAUAGUAAUAAUAAAAAAAAAAAUCCAUUUGAAUUUGUUGGCAUUAGUGGAAUUAAUAUCAACCGAAACGGUAAUUUUAUUUUUAACGGAAUAGGUUAUAACAUAUUAACAUUAUGUCAAAAUCAGAACAGCAAUAGCAGUAAUAAUAAUAAUAAUAAUAAAAAAAAAAAAAAAAAAGAAGAAGAUACAUGUCUAUGUAAUUAUAAUAUACAUAUGAAUCAAAAUGUAAGCUCUUAUGAAUCGACUUCUUUAAAAGAAUUAGAAGAACCGUAUUUACAUUUUUUAAAAAAAUAUUUAAUAAAUGAAGUAGAUUAUUAUAAUAAAUAUAUUUCUACACAAUAUUAUGAAAAAUACAACGAUUAUAUUAGUAGUAUAGAAUCUUAUUAUAAUGAUGUUUAUGUAAAAAAUAUUAAAAACUAUAAUGAUGAUGAUAGUGAGCACUCGUUAGAUAAGUCGAGCGAAUUGACUCAAAAUCAACAUGACGCUUUAGACGAACUGAUUGAAACAAAUCAGGACGGCAUACACGAAUCGGAAGAAAUUAAAAUUGAUGACGCAUACAAAACAAAUGAUAUUAGUAAUAUACUCAAAAAUACACAUGAUUACGACGGGUAUAUUUUAUCAAAUAAUUGUAAUAUGUUUAUACAAUUAAAAGGAGAUGAUAUUAAUCAGAAAGAAACUUCUAGUAAAAUAAAUGCCUUUACCAUAAUCUUUAACAUUAAAUCGGUAAUCGAAUUAUUAUUAUUUGGUUCACAAAUUGGUAAAAGUGAUAAUAUAAGAAAUAUAGCGAAAGUAUCUAUUAUGUGUAUUUGUUUAAAUUCUUUAAUCGAAAUAUUUGAAUCUUUGUUACUUUUAUAUGAAGUAAUGCUAUCUAAAUUAUUAUUAAUACAUUUUAUCAUUAUGAUUUUAUUAAAGUUUGUUUUAUUUACAUUUAUGGAAAUAAGAUUUAUUCUUAUAAUAUGGAAAGCAACACACCAACAAAACAUUAAUGAUAGGUGGGAACAAAUGCAAAGACAGCUAAGCAAGCUAUAUAAAUAUUACUAUAGUAGUAUAAUAGUAGUAAUUAUAUUAUUUUAUUAUGUUUUUCCAAUUUUUCCUUACUUUUUGUUAUUAAUUUAUUUUUGUUGGUUACCACAAAUUUUAUUGGAUAUAUGGAAAGGUCAAACAAAAUCUAUAGAUUUAAAAUUUGUUUUUCUCUUAUCUAUAUGUCGUAUGUUUUUACCUUUAUAUAUCUUUAUAUAUCCAUAUAAUAUAUUUAGUUUGGAUGUGUUUGCCUAUUCUAUGGAAUUAAGUCACCGUUCCUUUGGUAUUUUACUGGUAGUAAUACUAACUGUACAGAUGGUAUUAAUGUGUUUACAACGUAUGUAUGGGCCACGCUAC